UGCGAGCAAGGAUGUGACACAAGCUUUACUUCAACAAGGUGUCCUGCGCAAAUGAAGCCUUUUAGCAGCGAUAUCCCUGCCAUUUGCACUGCGGGUUUCCUAGUCGCAUACGUGAAUCUCAAGUAUCUCAGAAAAAAUGAUGGCAAAAUAAACUGGCUUCUCUAUUAUGCCCACCGCUAUUUCAGGACAAUGCCUCUGAUGAUGGCCGUGGUCGUACCGUGUGCUUUUCUGCUGCAUCAUUUUGGUGACGGGCCAUUCUGGAUGGAUGUCAUCGGACAAUACGGGAGCUCGUGCCGGCAAAACUGGUGGACGAAUCUCAUUUUCCUGCAUAAUUUUAUUCAUACAUAUGACAUGGUUCAUACCUGGCGUUUAUAGUUACCUGCACGAUGUUUAUUGCAAGCCAUAUUUUAACAUCGCAACUUACAUCAUGGGGAUCCUUUUGGGCCACUACAUCAUCUCCAACGAACGAACGACUAGACUGAAAAGGUGGCACGAGUGGCUUGGCUGGUUCCUGUGCCUCCUGUGCUUGCUGUUCGCCGCACUUGGUCUGCACAUUAUGAAUCCUGAUUCGUCCGGUCCUUUGGAGCGGCGUGUUCGUUGCUGCUUCUCCGACAGUUUGGAAUUUAGGCAUUGCGUGGAUUAUCUACACCUAUGUGGCAGGGUGUGGCGGUAUUGUGACUAAGUUCCUCUCCUCUGGUAUCUUUGCAACGCUCAGCAAGUUUGUGUUCGCGGUGUAUAUCACGCAUAUUCCAGUGCAGUACGUCUUCUAUGCAUCUCGGGAAGAAAGCUUCGACUACAAUUACUUCCUAAUGGGUUAUUUCUUCGCUGGAAACUUCGUUUCGUCAUUGGCCAUCGCUGUUGUGUUGAGCCUGCUCGUUGAGAUACCCAUCUGUGGACUUGAGAGGCUGGUUCUAGGCCGCGAGUGAAAAAUGUUAGAAGAGCGAAGAUGCACUCGCUGCAGCUUGUUUUUGUAUUCUGUUUGUAAUUCAUAGAUAGCAGUACUGGUAAGAUGAAGCAAUCGCAAAAAAAGAAGCUCACUCAAAUUAAAAUCCAGAAGUACUGUGCUUUGAAGUGUGAAAUGCUUCGUCUUCAAUCGCUUACUGGCUUUCUGUCUCGGUGGCCAUAAGUUCGCGUUG